GGUCGCAAGUUAAAAGUAUUAGAUCAGCAAGUUAAGAGUCUAAGAAAAAAAAUCACGGAAAGUGAAAAAAAAAGUAAAAUCUAUAGUACGGUUUUUUAUGAGUCAAUGUAAAAAGUGUUAAAAUAGUGCGCGGAUAAACGAAUAGACAAGAAAAAGGUCCACAAUCAGGGCCUUUUUCUUCUCAUUCGGAACAGGUUCCGAUUAUUUCGUUCGACCGUGUAAGGUACAACCAAAGCCAGUGGUUCCACAGCGUCGGCGCAAGGACUAUGAUUCCGAUGGAAUAACUCUCGAUCUAGUGGAAGUGUAGUGAUGAUUUCCAUUGUGGUGGUAAACGGCUGGGCGAAACAAAGUGUCCCGAAGAAACGGUCUGAAAACUCGCCGACCUUAAUUUCGUUCUGGCCAUGUUCGAAUUUGGCGAUCAGCAAAGGACCAUCCGAGCAGAGUCACUGUUAGAAGCUUCGUUAGCCGACGCCUGCGGAGGCCAUUUUGUUUCGGCCAUGUUUGAAUUCGACGAUCAUACAAGUACCAUUCCAGCGGCGUUCUAUUCGGCCGUGAUAGGAGCGUUAACCCACCAUCGGCCGUCAGUCAUGUUCUUGCCCUCCCAAAAUAAGACCAUCAUCGCUACCACCUCAUCGACAAACUCUAUCGCUACCACCGCAUCGACAAGCUACCAAGCCAUUCCGGAUACAGGGCAUGACGAUGCCCUGGAAGCAAGUACCCUACCAUUUGUGACGUCAGGUCAAGACUAGUCUAAGAGAGAACCCCCCCCCCCAUGUGUAAUAAAAUUAAG